CCUAGAGGACGACCUCGAGGACGACGCUUAGCACGACGCCGAGGACGACCUCA
rnacentral:ncRNA from 1 species